CUUGGUCAUUUAGAGGAAGUAAAAGUCGUAACAAGGUCUCCGUUGGUGAACCAGCGGAGGGAUCAUUACAGAGUUGCAAGACUCCCAACCAUUGUGAACCUACCUCACCGUUGCUUCGGCGGGUGGCCCCCACCGGGGCCGCGCCGGCUCCCGGGCCGGCAACUAGUCAGAGGACCGUAACUCUUAGUCAUCAUUGGCCUCUCUGAGUAGCUUAUACAAUAAGUCAAAACUUUCAACAACGGAUCUCUUGGUUCUGGCAUCGAUGAAGAACGCAGCGAAAUGCGAUACGUAAUGUGAAUUGCAGAUUUCAGUGAAUCAUCGAAUCUUUGAACGCACAUUGCGCCCGCCAGUAUUCUGGCGGGCAUGCCUGUUCGAGCGUCAUUUCAACCAUCAAGCGCCUCGCUUGUGUUGGGGCCCUGCGGCUGCCGCAGGCCCCUAAAACCAGUGGCGGGCUCGUCGUGGUACCGAGUGCAGUAAACAUCCUCGCUCAGGGAACCCGACGGGUGCCGGCCGUGAAGCCCCCCCCUCCUUAAGGUUGACCUCGGAUCAGGUAGGAAGACCCGCUGAACUUAAGCAUAUCAAUAAGCGGAGGA
rnacentral:misc_RNA from 1 species